UACGUAGGGUGCAAGCGUUGUCCGGAAUUAUUGGGCGUAAAGCGCACGUAGGCGGCUAUCUAAGUCGGAUGUGAAAUCCCUCGGCUUAACCAAGGAAGUGCACCCGAAACUGGAUAGCUUGAGUACAGAAGAGGAUCGCGGAAUUCCCGGUGUAGAGGUGAAAUUCGUAGAUAUCGGGAGGAACACCAGUGGCGAAGGCGGCGAUCUGGGCUGAUACUGACGCUGAGGCGCGAAAGCGUGGGGAGCAAACAGG
rnacentral:rRNA from 1 species